rnacentral:rRNA from 1 species
UACGUAGGGUGCAAGCGUUAAUCGGAAUUACUGGGCGUAAAGCGUGCGCAGACGGUUUUGUAAGUCUGUCGUGAAAGCCCCGGGCUCAACCUGGGAAUUGCGAUGGAGACUGCAAGGCUUGAAUCUGGCAGAGGGGGGUAGAAUUCCACGUGUAGCAGUGAAAUGCGUAGAGAUGUGGAGGAACACCGAUGGCGAAGGCAGCCCCCUGGGUCAAGAUUGACGCUCAUGCACGAAAGCGUGGGGAGCAAACAGG